rnacentral:lncRNA from 1 species
AUGACAAAAGUCAGAGGCACCCUGGGUCAGACACCGUGCGAGGUGUUGGUGUGUUCUCGAGACGAGAACGCGUCCCCGUCAGCGUUUCCUGUCGUUCUCGUUCCGAAAGGAUUCGCAAGCCACCUCGUCUCCCUCAAGGUCUUAGGGCUCUCGUGCUCCGCAGCCGUCACGUGUCGUGGAUCCUGGGCACCACCACGGGGCCCCCCCCCCCCCCCCCCCCCCCCCCCCCCCCGCCAUAGCUGUCGAUCGCUACGUGGCACGCCUACGUUUGCCCAAAAGAGCAGUCCGAUGGACAGCGUGGGUGCUUUUCCCAGCAGGCAGGCAGGAGACAAAACUCCCCUGCCAAAGGGGCCCUCCCGAAACGGGGAGUGAGGAAGACCUCCUUCUCUUCACGGCUGAAGUUCUCCCUGCCUUUCCUGGACGGGAAGGAUAGCACCUACGCCCGCUGCCGUCGGCGACUUUUAGUCCCCCUGGAGAGGAAGAAAUUCUUUCCCGUGGCCGAACCCUGGCGGUUCGUUCGUGCUGCAGAGAACGUGACUCUCUCUGACACACCCAGGAGCCUCCUCGCUCCGGUCAAGGAGAGGGAGUUCUGUUCUGUGGUUUAGAAUGGUGCUUAAAAAGGGACAUCGCUUACAAAGGGUCCUCAUCCCCCUUCCUAAACGGACGGCUCGGCUCGGAGGCGUGAGAUACGUUUCACAUCCUCCUCGUCGUCUUCACUCAAAGUUUUAUUGGAGUUUUAAAGAUUUUAUUUUUUGUUUUUCCUUUUUCUCCCCAAGGCCCCCCGGUACAUAGUUGUAUGUUCUUCGUUGUGGAUCCUUCUAGUUGUGGUAUGUCGGACGCCGCCUCAGCGUGGUUUGACGAGCAGUGCCGUGUCCGUGCCCGGGAUCCGAACGAACCGACGAAACACUGGGCCGCCUGCAGCGGAGCGCGCGAACUUAACCACUCGGCCACGGGGCCAGCCCCUCACUGGAUUUUUAAAACAACUCCGGGGGCCGGCCCGGUGGCGCGGCGGUGAAGUUCGCACGUUCCGCUCCGCCGGCCCCGGGUUCGCCCGUCCGGAUCCCGGGCGCGGACCCGGCACCGCUUGGCGAGCCACGCUGUGGCAGGCGUCCCACCUGGAAAGUAGAGGGGGAUGGGCACGGAUGUCAGCUCAGGGCCAGUCUUCCUCGGCCGACAGAGGAGGAUUGGCGGCAGAUGUUCGCUCAGGGCUCAUCUUCCUCAAAAAUAAAAUAAUAAAUCGAUUCGAUAAAAUAUCA